AUGGCGUCCGUCCUGUUGGCCGUUGGGUUGGUGCUUACACUUGAUGGUGUGCUCUCACCCUUACGUUUCUCCCUUUGGGCUUGCCUUGAACUUCUGGUUGACGCUGUAGCUGCAGUGGUUGACGUUUUCCUUUCAUCUGUGUGCGUCUUACUUGUCGUUGGGUCCGUACCUCCUUUGGACGUUGCGCUCCCACUCUUUCGCCUCUUAUUCGGGGUUGAGUCGCUAGUGGUGGAUGCCGGGGGCCCAUCGCUGUGCUUCUUAUUCGGCGUUGCCUGUGUACUUGUGGUCAACGUUACUUUCUCAUUGUCGUGUUUCCGUUUUGCUGUUGGGGCAAUAUUUUUAGCUGACGUGCUCUCGCUGUUACAAGUUAUAUUUACGGUUGGCUCAAUACCUCCAGUAGAGGUUGGAUUCACGCUUUUGGAUUUUUCAUAUGGUGCUGGUUUAGUUCUUCCACGUGUCAUCGUACCAUCAUUGGGUUCACUAUUUGAAGUUGGAUCAGUUCUUCCACUUGAUGUUGUUUUCUCAUUGUUACAUCUCUUACUUUUUGUUGGCUCACUAUUUCUGCAUUCAUCCUCUGGAGUUAGCUUGGUGCCCCGGGCUGAUGUUGUGGUAUUAUCGUGGGAUUUCUCAGUCGACGUUACCUCAGUUCUUCUGGUUGACGUUCGCUUUCCAUUGCUACAUGUCUUACUUAGUAUUGACUCGACACUUCCAGUUGUGGUCUGUACCACACCGUGGCUUUUGUUAUUUGUUGUCGGUGCAUCCUUUCCUUUUGAUGCUGCGUCGUCAUCAUCAUUAUAUUUCUCGUUCGGUGUCGGCUUGGUGCCUCUAGCUGAUGUUGCGGUCUUAUCGCUAAAUGUCUGCGUAGAUGCUGUGCGCUCACCAUUAUGCGUCUUACUAGCCGUUAGCACAGUCCCUCUGGUUGAUGGCAUCUUCCUGUUGCUAGGAUUCCCUUUUGGCGUGGUCUCAGCAUCCGUGUUCGAUGUGACGUUCUCCUCUUUGCGUGUCUUGCAUGGUGUUUGA
ensembl:lncRNA